CCUACGGGGGGCAGCAGUGGGGAAUAUUGGGCAAUGGGCGCAAGCCUGACCCAGCAACGCCGCGUGAAGGAAGAAGGCCCUCGGGUUGUAAACUUCUUUUAUUCGGGACGAAACAAAUGACGGUACCGAAUGAAUAAGCCACGGCUAACUACGUGCCAGCAGCCGCGGUAAUACGUAGGUGGCAAGCGUUAUACGGAUUUACUGGGUGUAAAGGGCGUGUAGGCGGGAAAGCAAGUCAGAUGUGAAAACCAUGGGCUCAACCUGUGGCCUGCAUUUGAAACUGUUUUUCUUGAGUACUGGAGAGGCAGACGGAAUUCCUAGUGUAGCGGUGAAAUGCGUAGAUAUUAGGAGGAACACCAGUGGCGAAGGCGGUCUGCUGGACAGCAACUGACGCUGAGGCGCGAAAGCGUGGGGAGCAAACAGGAUUAGAUACCCGUGUAGUC
rnacentral:rRNA from 1 species